UAGGGAAGUACUUCCACAAUGGCGGCAAGCCUGAUGGAGCAACACCGCGUGAGUGAAGAAGGGUUUCGGCUCGUAAAGCUCUGUUGUUAAAGAAGAACACGUAUGAGAGUAACUGUUCAUACGUUGACGGUAUUUAACCAGAAAGUCACGGCUAACUACGUGUCAG
rnacentral:rRNA from 1 species